rnacentral:tmRNA from 1 species
GGGGGCGAAAGGGCUCGACGGGGGUUACGAGGAUCAGGUUGCAUGUCGUGGCUCCGUAACCACGUAAAAAUGCGGAAAACAAACACAAACGCCAAUAACGAACUGGCACUCGCUGCUUAAUUAAGUAAGCAGCCGCUGCCCUGAAAUUGUCUGUGUUUCAGGAGUCAGUGUCAUUAAGCAGACUGGCUCAGGAGAAUUUCUCCUGACUCUUGAGCAAGACAAAAGGAGAUUGGAUUUCAAAAAGCCUUCCUGAUGGCAUUUUGAAAUCUGAAACAUAAUAAUCAGGAUAAACAUGUAGAUGCCUGAGAGUAGUGCUUUCGGACGCGGGUUCAAUUCCCGCCGCCUCCACCA